rnacentral:rRNA from 1 species
UGUCACUCCUACGGGAGGCAGCAGUGGGGAAUAUUGCACAAUGGGCGCAAGCCUGAUGCAGCCAUGCCGCGUGUGUGAAGAAGGCCUUCGGGUUGUAAAGCACUUUCAGUCGUGAGGAAGGUAGUGUAGUUAAUAGCUGCAUUAUUUGACGUUAGCGACAGAAGAAGCACCGGCUAACUCCGUGCCAGCAGCCGCGGUAAUACGGAGGGUGCGAGCGUUAAUCGGAAUUACUGGGCGUAAAGCGCAUGCAGGUGGUUUGUUAAGUCAGAUGUGAAAGCCCGGGGCUCAACCUCGGAAUAGCAUUUGAAACUGGCAGACUAGAGUACUGUAGAGGGGGUAGAAUUUCAGGUGUAGCGGUGAAAUGCGUAGAGAUCUGAAGGAAUACCGGUGGCGAAGGCGGCCCCCUGGACAGAUACUGACACUCAGAUGCGAAAGCGUGGGGAGCAAACAGGAUUAGAUACCCUGGUAG